rnacentral:lncRNA from 1 species
GGUAAACACGAGCACCAGACCUGACUGGGUGGUUGAGGGAGCUCCUGGUGAAAUGUGCUGAGGCUUCUGCUGAGGUUUCUACCUCAGCUCCACGGCCUGGCCAGUUCAAUGGAUUGAAGAAAAUGUUCACGGAAGGAAGAUGAUUAAUUGAUCCAGAGGGCCUGUAGCAACUCUGUUUAACAUGCUAGAUGAGCCAGUCUUAUUCAGUGAUGACUAAGGAUCUAGAGAAAACUGGUGUCAGAAUACAAAAGAUUAAAUGGAAGGCUCUGGAGCCCUGAGGAAUAGCAGUUACUAGACUGAAGGAACCUGAGUUUCUAGAUUGCGAUGUUGAGCAGAGUCCCUGCUAACCCAGGAAAACUCUGAUGUGAGAAAGAAGAAAACCCGGAUUGCACUAACUCACCGAGAUUUCGAAGUUUAGUUGUUCGGCGAUGAACUUGUCCUGAACAACAUAGAGGAACAGUGGGAAAUACAUGGAGUGUGCUUAUAAGAAGCUAUGGUAGGCAGGAUUUCAAGAUGUCCUUGUGAUCUCUGCCUCCUUGUGUUUCUCCCAUGACUAUGUCAUGUUCCACAGCAAAAGGGAUUUUGCAAUGUAUUAAGGGUACUGAACGGUUGACCUUAAGAUCGUGGGAUUAUCUGGGUGGGCCUAAUUUCAUCACAUGAGUCCUGUAAAAGAAGUGAAUUUUCUCUAUUUGGUAGCAGAAGAGGCAGUCAGAGACAUCUGAAGUGUGAGAGGGAUUCAGUGCUGAAAUGGAGAAGGUCACAUGGUAAGAACCUGAGAGUGGCUUCUGGUAGCUGAGAGUGAUCCUUGGCAAGAUAAUGGAACCUUAGUCCUAGAGCCUCAAGGAAAUUAAUUCUGCUGACAAUCUGAGGGAACUUUGAAGCAGAUCUUUUCCUAGUUGAGCCUCCAAGUAAGGAUUUAGCUAGCUAGCUGGUACUUUAAUUUGAGCCUUAUGAGUCUCUGAGCAGAGGACCCAGGGAAAUAAAGUCAGGCUCCUAAUGCAUGGUGAUGAUGACGUGAUAAGUGUGUUUUGUUAAGCUACUAAGUUUGUGGUAAUUUUUAAUGUAGCAAUAAAAAACUAAUGCAGAGAGUGAAAA